UACGGGGGGGGCAAGCGUUGUUCGGAAUUACUGGGCGUAAAGGGCUCGUAGGUGGCCAACUAAGUCAUACGUGAAAUCCCUCGGCUUAACCGGGGAACUGCGUCUGAUACUGGAUGGCUUGAGGUUGGGAGAGGGAUGCGGAAUUCCAGGUGUAGCGGUGAAAUGCGUAGAUAUCAGAAGGAACAUCAGUGGCGAAGGCGGCUUUCUGGACCAAUACUGACGAUCAGGUGCGAAAGCCAGGGGAGCAAACGGG
rnacentral:rRNA from 1 species